UUGGGGAGAGCUGGUGGCCAUCUGUGUGAUUGGAAGGUUGCCAGAAUACCAUUCCUACUGCUGAGCCAUGCUGUCUGAUAUCCUACCAGAUGGGCAGCUGACCAGAGGACUUGCCAAUGACCACUGGUGGGUUGUAAGAAGACGAGCUGGAGCAACCUCCUUUUUCUUCCUGGAGAUCUGAACUGAGGAAUACCCAGAGCUUUUCCGUGAUGGGAAGAGAUGAACUCUACCAAACCAUUAAAGAGGAAUUAAUAUGAAUUCUUUUUAAACUAUUCAAAAAUAUUGAAGCAGAGACCAUUCUCCCAAACUCAUUCUAUGAGGCCAGCAUCACCCUGAUACCAAAAUCAGACAAAGAUACAGUAAAUAAGAAAACCACAGGCCUAUAUCCUUGAUGAACAUAGAUGCAAAAAUCCUCAACAAAAUACCAGCAAACAGAAUACAGCAGCACAUCAAAAAGAUAAAACAUCAUGAUCAAGUGGAUAUAUCCCAGGGAUGCAAUGAUGGCUCAACGUAUGCAAAUCAAUAAAUGUGAUGUAUCACAUCAACAAAAUCACAGACAAAAACCAUAGGAUCAUCUCAAUAGAUGCAGAAAAAUCAUUUGACAAAAUUCAACAUCCCUUCAUGAUAAAGACUCUCAAACAAUACAAAUUAGUUAUAGAAGGAAAGUAUCUCAACACAAUAAGAGCCAUAUACAGCAAACCCACUGCCAAUAUUAUCCUGAAUGGGGAAAAGCUGAAAGCUUUUCCUUUAAGAACAGGGACAAGAUAAGAAUGUCCUCUCUCACCAUUCCUAUUUAACAUAGUGUUGGAAGUACUAGCCAGAGCAAUCAGGCAAGAGAAAGAAAAAGAGCAUCCAAAUUUGAAAAGAUGAAAUCAAAUUGUCCCUGUUUGCAGAUGACAUGAUCCUAUAUGUCUAAAAACCUAAAGACUCUACCAAAAAACUCUUAGAGCUGAUAAACAAAUUCAGUAAAGUUUCAGGAUGCAAAGUCAAUAUACAAAAAUCAGUAGUGUUUUUAUACUCCAACAAUAGACUAGCAGAAGAAGACAUCA